GGGCCCGUAGCUCAGCCAGGUUACUGACAACAGACUGAGAGAGCGGCAGGCUCAUAUCCCAGAUGGGAAACCUGACGGUCCCCGGUUCGAAUCCGGGCGGGCCCA
rnacentral:tRNA from 1 species